AUUGAACGCUGGCGGCAGGCCUAACACAUGCAAGUCGAACGAGUGGCGGACGGGUGAGUAAUGUCUGGGAAACUGCCCGAUGGUGGGGGAUAACUACUGGAAACGGUAGCUAAUACCGCAUACCAUCGGAUGUGCCCAGAUGGGAAUGGCUGGUAGGGGGGGUAAAGGCUCAACUAGGCGACGAUCCCUAGCUGGUCGAAGAGGAUGACCGGCCAAACUGGAACUGAGACACGGUCCAGACGCGUACGGUAGGCAGAAGUGGGGAGUAUUGCACAAGGGGCGCAAGCCUGAUGAAGACAUGCCGCGUGUAGGAAGAAGGCCUUCGGGUGGUAAAGUACUUUCAGCGAGGAGGCGUUACUCGCAGAAGAAGCACCGGCUAACUCCGUGCCAGCAGCCGCGGUAAUUC
rnacentral:rRNA from 1 species